AGAUUGAACGCUGGCGGAAUGCCUUACACAUGCAAGUCGAACGGCAGCACGGGAGCAAUCCUGGUGGCGAGUGGCGAACGGGUGAGUAAUACAUCGGAACGUGCCCAAUCGUGGGGGAUAACGUAGCGAAAGCUACGCUAAUACCGCAUACGAUCUACGGAUGAAAGCAGGGGAUCGCAAGACCUUGCGCGAAUGGAGCGGCCGAUGGCAGAUUAGGUAGUUGGUGGGGUAAAGGCUCACCAAGCCUUCGAUCUGUAGCUGGUCUGAGAGGACGACCAGCCACACUGGGACUGAGACACGGCCCAGACUCCUACGGGAGGCAGCAGUGGGAAUUUUGGACAAUGGGCGCGAAGCCUGAUCCAGCCAUUCGCGUGCAGGAUGAAGCCUGGUGGUAACUGCUUUGUACGAACGAAAGCGUUCUCUAAUACAGGAGGUCAGUAGACGUACCGUAAGAAUAAAGCACGCUAACGUACGUCGCAGCAGACCG
rnacentral:rRNA from 1 species